rnacentral:rRNA from 1 species
GAGUUUGAUUAUGGCUCAGGAUGAACGCUAGCGAUAGGCCUAACACAUGCAAGUCGAGGGGCAGCAUAAAGAGUAGCGAUACUUUUGGUGGCGACCGGCGCACGGGUGAGUAACACGUAUGCAACCUACCUUCAACAGGAGGAUAACCCGUUGAAAGACGGACUAAUACUCCAUAACACAGGGGUUCCGCCUGGGACUAUUUGUUAAAGAUUAAUCGGUUGAAGAUGGGCAUGCGUUCCAUUAGCUUGUUGGUGAGGUAACGGCUCACCAAGGCAACGAUGGAUAGGGGAACUGAGAGGUUUAUCCCCCACACUGGAACUGAGACACGGUCCAGACUCCUACGGGAGGCAGCAGUGAGGAAUAUUGGUCAAUGGACGCAAGUCUGAACCAGCCAAGUCGCGUGAAGGAAGACGGUCUUCUGGAUUGUAAACUUCUUUUAUACAGGAAUAAAAUGCUUCACGAGU